rnacentral:lncRNA from 10 species
CUACAGAGAUCAGAAUGUUUUUGCCACAAAGUUGAUUCAGAAAUAACCCCAAGUUUCAUGUUGAGAUUUUUCAUAAAACUGUCAUCUCAUCUUUGUCUGAAAAGUAGGAAUUCAUCUAACUGUGCCCUGGGACUAGCUCUGGAAAGACCACUAGCAGCCAGCAUCUGGUGUGCAGAGGUUGGUCUGCUUCUCAUUUGCAAAAUGGCAGCUGUGCCCUCAGCCUCGGUGGCUUCUGCCUGUCUGAGAACCUCCGUGACUCCCUCUCACAGAGUCAACCUGAGCAUAUUGGAGUGAAACAGAACAGGUGCAGCCACUGGAUACCUGGAGAUGGCGAAAACAAUCUGGGGGCUGAACGGCUUCACAGGAAGAGUCCAUGUUCUUGUCCUAGUCAGGGUUCUGCAGAGAAGCAGAAGCCAUAUGAUGUGUCUGUGCGGGCAUGCGUGUGAGUGUGUAUAUGUAAUAAGGGAUUGGCUCUCAUGACCAUGGAGGAGACCAUGUCAUCUGCAGUCAGCAACGUGAAGACCCAGGAGAGCCAAUGAUUUAGGUCCAGUCUGAGUCUGAAGGCCCAAAGACCAGGAGAGCUGAUGGUUUUGUUCUAGUCCAAAGGCUGGCAAACUCAAGACAUAAGAUCCAGUAUUUCAGUUCAAGUCAAAGGCUGAAAAGUGCUGACAUCCCAGUUUAAAGGCCAUCAGUUAACAGAGAUCGCCCUUAAUUGCGGAGAUGUCAGCCCUUUAUUCAUAUUUAGGUAUUCAGCUGGUUAGAUGAGGCCCACCUGCAUCAGGGAGGCCAGCAUGCUUUACUCGGUCCGCCAACUUAAAUGUUAACCGCAUCUAAAAACACCCACCCUGGCACCUCCAGAAUAAUGAACGUUUGACCAAAUAUCUGGGCAUCCUGUGGCCCAGCCAAGCUGACACAUAAUUAACCCUCACAGUCUACCUCUUCGAUGCAGUCCUAUUUUUCAUCCCGAAUUCCAACAGCACUGGGGGUCCCUGCACCUUUUGAGAAUCUGCAUGUAUUUAUUUAUGUAUGUAUUUGUUUGUUUUUUUGUUUUCUGAGACAGAGUCUCACUCUGUCACCCCAGCUGGAGUGCAGUGGUGCAUGGCUUACUGCAGCCUGACCUCUCAGGCUCAAGCUAUGCUCCCACUUCAGCUUCCUAAGUAGCUGGGACCAAAGGCAUGCAUCACCAUGCCCACCUAAUUUUUUUAUAAUUUUUGUAGAGACAGGGUCUUGCCAUGUUGCCUACGCUGGUCUUGAAUUCCUGGGCUUGAGCGAUCCACCCACCUUGGCCUCCCAAAGUCCCUGGAUUACAGGUGUGAGCCAACGUGCCCAGGCUUGAGGAUCUGCAUUUAAAUCACAUUGUUUUCCAUCUUCCCUCACCAUGAGCUUGUGGUGCCUAUUUGGAUCUGCUAGAUGAAUUUCUACUCAACUGUUUUAUUUCCAGAUUACAAUAUUGUUGAAUGGCUUUCUGCUCCCCUGAUGGUCACCUCUUUGUGGGUUUGCAUAUUUAUUUUUAAAUGCCUUUGCCAUGGUACUGAGGACUUGGAAGAAGGAUCUAUUAGACACAUUCAAUCUAUUUCCACUUUCUGAACUCUAAAGUGUCUUUACUUAAUAAACAUAGUAACUUGCUCAUUCAACGUAUGAAGGUUAAAUUAAGAUGUAAUAUUAUUUUAUCUCUGCUGUAUGUGCUCAAGAGAUAUUUAAUUAAUGGAAUUUUGUGUAUGCACGUAUCUUAAUUAACACAGGUAUGAAUUAUGUGUGCUUACCUCUACCUAUAAAUAUCAAUGCAUUUGAGUAUAUGUGUAAUAUGUGGUAAUAUUCUUUUACAUAAGUUGGUAAGUGUACCUACCAUCAUUCCCUUGGAAAACUGAUGGCUAAAAUACUAUAAAAGAUAAGUAUGUUUAAGUAGUUAUAAGCAAAGUACAUAUGUAUAUAUAUGUAGAAUAAAUAUUGUAUUUUUCUGUUAGAAUUGAAAAUCUUAGGUUGUACUAGAGUCCUUCAAUUUUUAUGCUAAGUAUUGGUUGUAACCUGAAUAUGAUAGUAGUUAGCAUGAACGCUGAAAUCAUAGUUUUGCCAUUUGAAAUAUGACUGAGUGAGGUAAUAGUGUUCUUUGGUGAGCAUUUUGAGUUUUGUGCUUCACAUCUGUAAACUGAUAAAAUCCUAUUAUGCCUUCCAGCUGUGAUGCUUAUACCGUGGGCUGCAGAAUUAUAAGAUUAAACAUUCUACAUAAGCAUUAAGAAUCGUCUGCACCUCUGCAGGGCUAUCCUAAGUUGUUAUUAACUUCAGACAUCUUUUCUCACCCAAAGCAAGCUCACACAUCUUGGAAAGUGCUUGUCAUUUUCAUUUGUCUUAUUUUUACUGUCCACCUUCUUUGUACCUCUGUACCUCCCUAUGUGAAACUAUUUCUGGUUAUGGAUCCUCUUCUAGAAUUAGUUGAUUAAAUUAUAGACUCUUAUUCUGAAUUCCUUGACUACUGUCAAAACAUAUUUGUGUCAAGGUUUCAAUCCCUGUCAUCAUCUGAGAAGCCUUGAUUAGUUCACGUUGCAGACUUUCUGUUUAUAAUGAGAGCAUUUCUUAGCAUCUUGACCUUUCAGAUCAUUUAUAUCAAAACUAAUAUUCCAGGGCUUUAUGUUUUAAUGAAUAUACAGUUGUCAACACUUUUCAUCUUCUUUUUAUACUCUAAAUCAUGCUACUUUCAGUAAGCUAUUUCUUUCUAAUUAUUUUUUAUGUUCAGAUGGUAAAAAAUAAUGGAAUUACUUACAGUUUUAUUAUUGAUACAUAGGAUUUGGUUUGCAAAUGUAUAAUAUGCAAUGACAAUGUAUGGUAAUAUAAACUAUAUGUAAGUUACGAAGCAUAAUGAUGGAAGAUGUAUUCAUGAACUCAUCAUACAAAUUAAGAAAUAAAAUAUUUGUUAUAUCACUAAACUACCCACGUGCUCCUUUUCAAAUCCUAUCCUCUCGUCUUAACUGGAGAAGACAGCAUGAUCUUGGAUUUUGUUGUUGUUG